rnacentral:rRNA from 1 species
UACGUAGGGUGCAAGCGUUGUCCGGAAUUAUUGGGCGUAAAGAGCUCGUAGGCGGUUCGUCGCGUCGGCUGUGAAAUCCCGAGGCUCAACCUCGGGUCUGCAGUCGAUACGGGCGGACUGGAGUUCGGCAGGGGAGACUGGAAUUCCUGGUGUAGCGGUGAAAUGCGCAGAUAUCAGGAGGAACACCGGUGGCGAAGGCGGGUCUCUGGGCCAUUACUGACGCUGAGGAGCGAAAGCGUGGGGAGCGAACCGG